UGGAUCUUAAAAUCUACUCAGAAAUUAGGGUAAAAGUUUAUGUUAAUGUGUCGAAUAAGUAACUGGUGAAUCUUUAUAUAUAAAGUACACUUUGAUUCCCUCCCAGAGGGUCCACGUUGGAUGACACCUCAUCAAUUCAUGCACUCUGAAAGCGACACGUGUCUCUGUUCUUCAAAGUGCACCGUUUCAUUUAGGUCAGCGUCUUUUAGUUUCUUUCAUCGUCUUCAUCGAAACGACGCAGCCACCGUGACGAUCAAACUUCAGAACAAACCUCUUACCAGAACGGUCUAAGCUUUCAUUUAAUUUGCGGUAUUUACGUUCUCAUUGACUCCAUUAAACCACGAAUCCUCUAACUCGCAUUCAAGAAGACCAUCAAAGCUCCACUUUCCUGCUCGCCGACUUAAAAUCCGGUGGUUGUGCUACAAUUGUUGAAGCCCGGCUUUGGAAAGGCGCAAAUGUGGUGAAAAGCGUUGAGCUCACAGGUUAGACAUGUUGACCUUCGACGAGCAGGUGAUUCCGCGACCAUUGACUGCCUAUUAGUACUUUCCGGGUGGGCUUUGCUGUUACGGCGUCACUGAUUUGUUGUAAGAAGCACAAGUCCUGUCGCUUAUGUGGGCCUAAACUAAAUCUCAGAGGUUCCUGACUUUCUCUCUACGACACAAACAUCAGCACAUUAUCUCGAUGGUGCUCAAGACGACAAUGAUAUGGAUCGACAUCUCCGGUGCCAAAAGCCAUGUACACUCUAUUCCAUUAGAGCUUUUGAAUUGUCUUUUUGUCUGUGAUUUAGUGAUCUUUUGACAGCAGCGAUCCAGUUUUCGCUGGUAGUUCAGAAACAGAGGAAUAACAAGGGAAAAGUUUAACUCUUGAGAUUCAAGUUCCAUGAGCACUAAUGUUUGGUUUUUGACUCUUGAUCAAUGCACAGAGGAAGUCAUUGCGAACAUAGCUCAAGGCGAUGUUGAAGUUAUCAACCGGGCGGUGAAAGCUGCAAGGAAGGCUAUUGAUGAAGGACCUUAGCCUGAGAUGACCGCUUAUAUAUAAUAUUGUAUAUUGUUUUUGAGUCUUGAAAGUUAUGAAAUUUAAUGUGAUAUGGACUUAUCUUGGUUUGAUUUUCAGGAAAGGUGAAGGAUAAUGCUGAGAUUCACAUAUUUGGUUGAGAAACACAUCAAAGAGCUCUCAUCUCUAGAGACAUUGGACAAUGGGAAGACUUAUGAACAAGCCAAAACAGCAUAAAUUGCAAUGCUUCCCAGAUUCUUUCAAGAGUUUUGUUUUGAUCGAUACUCCUGCAGUUUCUAAGUUUGGAGAGCUUAAAAGGCACCUAAAAUCCAAAAAUAGAGGGACAUCAAACGGUGGAUCAAGAGCUUCAGAAGAUACAAUAGGAUAUAUAGAGUAUGAGUACAAGAAACAUGCGCUAUAAGAAGCACAUCAGCAGGGUCGUGAUGGAGCUUGAUAUGACAUGCAGUGUCAUUGAAGAGCUAAAACUAGAAGUAGCAUUGGCAGAGAAAGAACAAGCGAAACAAGACGCUAAUGUUGCGAAGCUGAGAGUGAAGAAAAUGGAGGGAGACAGUAAAAACGCAACUGGCGUAUUAAACAACAAAUGCUACACUUUGGAGUGUAUAAUUGGACGAGGGAGAUCAAAUGGUGGUCGACUAAGUUUGAAGCAGUUUCAUUCCGAUGGACUAAGGAGGCAAACAAAGUAGAAGAUUGAUUAGCGACUACUAGGCCUUUAGACAAUUCUUUUAAAUUUCAUUACUGUGUACCCCAAUAUAUCUCUAAUCUUCUUCAUGAAGAUCAUUUAGUCUUCGGUUGCAUAGUAAUAAAAAUAGAUGUUGUAAAAAAUAGUUUUAAUUUAUGAUAUUAAUACAAGAUUGUAGAAUGUUUUUACUGAAAAUAAAAAAUAUGAAAUAAUGUUUU